GAGAUAGAGAGUGGAAUGUAGCCAAGGAUGACUUGCCGGGUAUGUGCAUGUACGCUUCAGGGAAUUAUAUGCAUCCCUGGUCUGAAUCCAUGCUGAUAUUUCCCGG